GGAGGGGCUAGGAUGAAAAAUUGUGUCCUGCCUUUUUUUUAUAUUUGUAAUCUCUGUCCUGCCUUUUUAUUUUUCAGUCUAUUCGGUCCUGCCUUUUUUUUUCUCAGCUUAUCCUGACUUUUUUACAACAAUUGUCAUCCUGCCUUUUUUUUUUUGCCAAGUUACUCAUCCUGCCUUUUUUUUUACUCAAAAUCCUGUCCUGCCUUUUUUUUUCAAAUUUCAUCCUAGCCCCCCCCCC
rnacentral:lncRNA from 1 species